rnacentral:rRNA from 1 species
GACGAACGCUGGCGGCGUGCUUAACACAUGCAAGUCGAACGGAAAGGCCCUGCUUGCAGGGUACUCGAGUGGCGAACGGGUGAGUAACACGUGGGUGAUCUGCCCUUCACUUCGGGAUAAGCCUGGGAAACUGGGUCUAAUACCGGAAAGGAGCCAUUUUUCGUGUGAUGGUUGGAAAGUUUUUUCGGUGUAGGAUGAGCUCGCGGCCUAUCAGCUUGUUGGUGGGGUAAUGGCCUACCAAGGCGGCGCCGGGUAGCCGGCCUGAGAGGGUGGACGGCCACAUUGGGACUGAGAUACGGCCCAGACUCCUACGGGAGGCAGCAGUGGGGAAGAUUGCACAAUGGGCGCAAGCCUGAUGCAGCGACGCCGCGUGGGGGAGGACGGCCUUCGGGUUGUAAACUCCUUUCGCUAGGGACGAAGCUUUUUGUGACGGUACCUAGAUAAGAAGCACCGGCUAACUACGUG